rnacentral:rRNA from 1 species
AAUUAAUUCCAAUAUUACCUAAGAACCCUUAAACAAUACUGAGUAAUUCUAUAUUAUUAUAGAAGAUUUUAUGUUAAAACUAGUAACAAGAAGAAGAACUUCUUAUAUAAUGCAAGUAUAAAUCAGACAGGACACACCACUGAUAAUUAACACCAAUGAAUAAAAAGUAGUAACUAAACAAGAAAAUUCUACUAAACUACAUGUUAAUCUAACACUAGAGCAUUUCAAAAAAGAUUAAAAGAAAGAGAAGGAACUCGGCAAAUAUUAACCUCGCCUGUUUACCAAAAACAUCGCCUCUUGAAUAAAUAUAAGAGGUCCAGCCUGCCCAGUGACUUUGUUCAACGGCCGCGGUAUCCUAACCGUGCGAAGGUAGCGUAAUCACUUGUUCUUUAAAUGAGGACUAGUAUGAAUGGCUUCACGAGGGUUAUACUGUCUCCUCUUUCUAAUCAGUGAAACUAAUCUUCCCGUGAAGAAGCGGGAAUAAAUCUAUAAGACGAGAAGACCCUAUGGAGCUUUAAACUACGUAACACUUGCACUAAUACAACACAAAUUUCAGAAAAAUUAUCUCUACGUAUGCAAGAUAAUUACCAGUUUUAGGUUGGGGUGACCGCGGAGCAAAAAACAACCUCCACGUUGAAAGGAGUCGUAUCCUUAGCCAAGAGUCACACCUCUAUGCAUCAUUAUUAUGACACUAAUUGACCCAAUAUUUUUGAUCAACGAACCAAGUUACCCUAGGGAUAACAGCGCAAUCCACUUCAAGAGCUCCUAUCGACAAGUGGGUUUACGACCUCGAUGUUGGAUCAGGGUAUCCCGGUGGUGCAGCCGCUACCAAAGGUUCGUUUGUU